rnacentral:rRNA from 1 species
UACGUAGGGGGCAAGCGUUGUUCGGAAUUACUGGGCGUAAAGCGUGCGUAGACGGCUAUCUAAGUCGGGUGUGAAAGCCCCGGGCUCAACCUGGGAAUUGCAUUCGAGACUGAAUAGCUAGGGUACGGUAGAGGGAAGCGGAAUUUCCGGUGUAGCGGUGAAAUGCGUAGAUAUCGGAAGGAACAUCAGUGGCGAAAGCGGCUUCCUGGACCAGUACCGACGUUCAGGCACGAAAGCGUGGGGAGCAAACAGG